UAAAAAGUAAGCUAAAAUUAAGCUAAAAGGUUCAUACCCUUUCUAUAUAGAAUAUCUAUCUUUUUAA
rnacentral:tRNA from 1 species